rnacentral:lncRNA from 1 species
AUGCGAUUUUUUAAACAUCGCUCACAAAAAAAAAAAAAAAAAAAAAAAAAAAAAAAAAAAAAAAAAAAAAAAAAACUUUCAAUGGAGAAAUUGCAAAUAUAUAUUUUAAUAGUUUUUCUUAUUUUUUUUUAUUUAUCAAAUAAUAGUUUGAUUGGUGUUAAUUGUGAAACGAAUAAUAACGAUGUAUAUACUAGCAUAUUAGAAGAUUUAGACUUAAGUACAAAUUUUAUAAACUAUUUACAUGAUGAUAAUGUACGCUCAACUUUUGAAAAAUGUUUAAUAGAAGAAAAUUUAUUAUACCAUUUAAAUAAUAAAAUAAAAAAAAGUGAAAAUUAUAUUAUUAAAAAUCUUGAAAAGCGUUUAAUAGAUAUAAAUCCUGAAAUGUUAAAUAAACAAGGAAGAUGGGAUAUACUUAAAGAUAAAAUAUUAAAAUUGUGUAGUACAUUAUAUUGUAAAUAUAAUAAAAUAGUAGAAGAGUUUUGGAAUGAUUUUAUUAAUUAUUCAAUGGAUAUAGGUAUAAUAUAUCGUAAUUUUGAAACAAAAUAUUUGGAAGAAUAUAAUAAUAUAGAAAAAUUAAAAAUGAAAUAUAUAUCUUCUUUUAGUACGGCAAAUGAAACAUUUAAUAAAAUACAAUUAGACGAAAAUAGUAACGAUAGUUCUGUAUGUAACUGUAGUAAUGUUACUUAUAAAUGUAAAUGUGAUAGUGAUGAUAAUGAAAAUGAAUGUAAUUGUAAUACUGACAGUGCUAAUGAUUGUACUUGUAAAUAUAAUACAACAAAAAAAGAAAUUAUAAAACAAAUUAAAUUACUCAAUAAUAUAAUAAAUAAAUUAAAAGAUAAAAUUGCCAUAUUAUAUGUUAUUAGUUAUGGAUUAUAUGAAUUUAAAAAAGAUAUGGAUAUAUAUGUUGAAAAAUAUAAAAAUCAAAAAGUAGGUUUAUUACAUGAUGCAGAUUCUACAGAUAGCAAUGAAAAACCAAUUGAUAAAAUUGAUGGUACUAUAUUAAAUGUUUUAUACAGUUUAAUGGAUAAUUUAAUAUUUAAACUAAGAAAAAAAAUUACUAUUAGUAGAGAUACACUUCAAAAUGAAAUAGUAAAAUUUGAAAAAGAAUUAAACAUUUUUAUAAAAAAUGUUAAUAUUGUCAUAAAAAAAAAAAAUAAUAAUAAUGACAACAAUGAUAGUGAUAAUAUAAAAUUUGAAAGUAUAGAAAAUAGCGAACUAAAUCCAGUUUUUAUUAAUGUAGAUUGGUUGAAAGAAGAGUAUGAACAGUAUGUUCAACUAAUGGAAAAACAUAAAUUGUAUGAAGAAUCGAAUAGUGAUUUAUUUAGUAAUGACAUAACUGAUAGUGUUGCACCUGGUAAUGUAUCACCUGAAGGUGCCAUGUCUGAUGGUGUUAUACCUGAUGGUGUUA